UGAGGAACAUGACCUUCGGCGGGGGAUAGCCGGCCCAACGGCCGGGUAAUACCGCGUACGACCACAUGGGGACAUCCCUGAGUGGUGAAAGCAGCAAUGCGCCGAUGGAGUGCCUCGCGGCCUAUCAGCUAGUUGGUGAGGUAACGGCUCACCAAGGCGACGACGGGUAGCUGGUCUGAGAGGAUGGCCAGCCACAUUGGGACUGAGACACGGCCCAGACCUCUACCGGGGAGG
rnacentral:rRNA from 1 species